rnacentral:rRNA from 1 species
AGCGAACGCUGGCGGCAGGCCUAAACAUGCAAGUCGAACGCCGUAGCAAUACGGAGUGGCAGACGGGUGAGUAACACGUGGGAACGUGCCUUUUGGUUCGGAACAACACAGGGAAACUUGUGCUAAUACCGGAUAAGCCCUUACGGGGAAAGGAUUUAUCGCCAAAAGAAUCGGCCCGCGUCUGAUUAGCUAGUUGGUGAGGUAACGGCUCACCAAGGCUACGAUCAGUAGCUGGUCNGAGAGGAUGAUCAGCCACACUGGGACUGAGACACGGCCCACGACUCCUACGGGAGGGCAGC